AACGAACGUUAGCGGCGCGCCUAAGACAUGCAAGUCGAGCGAGAAAGGGAUUCGUCCCCGGUAAAGCGGCGCACGGGUGAGUAACACGUAGGUCAUCAACCCCCGAGUGGUGGAUAACCCUCCGAAAGGAGGGCUAAUACAGCAUGAUGUUAGCAAUAACCAAAGCGGGCCUCUUCACGAAAGCUCGCGCUUGGGGAUGAGCCUGCGGCCCAUCAGGUAGUUGGCGGAGUAAUAGCCCACCAAGCCAUCGACGGGUAGCUGGUCUGAGAGGAGGAACAGCCACACUGGAACUGAGACACGGUCCGGACUCCUACGGGAGGCAGCAGUCGGGAAUCUUCCGCAAUGGGCGAAAGCCUGACGGAGCGACGCCGCGUGAGCGAUGAAGGCCUUCGGGUUGUAAAGCUCUGUGGGGAGAGAAGAAUAAGUUCAGGUCAAUACCCUGAAUGAUGACGGUAUCUCCUUAGCAAGCACCGGCUAACUCUGUGCCAGCAGCCGCAGUAACAC
rnacentral:rRNA from 1 species